GAUUAACGCUGGCGGCGUGCAUAACACAUGCAAGUCGAACGAUGAAACUUAGUAGACUUCUUCGGAAAGACACUAAGCGGAUUAGUGGCGAACGGGUGAGUAACGCGUGAGUAACCUGCCUUACACAAGGGGAUAGCCUUUGGAAACGAAGAAUAAUACCCUAUAAAACCAUAAAAGCACAUGCUAGAAUGGUCAAAGUGAUAGCGGUGUAAGAUGGACUUGCGUCUGAUUAGCUAGUUGGUGAGAUAAAAGCUCACCAAGGCAACGAUCAGUAGCCGGCUUGAGAGAGUGUACGGCCACAUUGGGACUGAGACACGGCCCAGACUCCUACGGGAGGCAGCAGUGGGGAAUUUUGCACAAUGGGGGAAACCCUGAUGCAGCGACGCCGCGUGAUUUAGAAGGUCUUCGGGUUGUAAAAAUCUUUUGUAUAGGAAGAAAAUGACAGUACUAUACGAAUAAGGUCCGGCUAAUUACGUG
rnacentral:rRNA from 1 species